rnacentral:lncRNA from 1 species
ACAAUAUGGAUAUGGAGACAAUCUCUUAGGAGACUUGGGAGUGCUCUCCUGUAGGAUCCAAGACUUCUCAUCUUUCCGAUGCGAACUGAAUUAUGCUAGCAUGUCAACCAGGACAUUUCAGAGAAGCAUCGAAACGUGUUAGUAAACCUCUUACCAGAACACCCUCACUAUCGAUUUUUUUUUGUCACUAAAACACAAACCAGCAUGGGACAUUAAACAGGACCUUUGGUAUUUGGUGUUGGGAAAAUGCCCCCUUGGAUCUAGAGCUCUUUAGGAGUAAUGGCUUCCCGAAAAGAACUAUAGAGAAAAAGAAGGCAGAAUAACCCAGGUGCCUGAGCAUCUUUGAGGAGGAACAAGAGGAGAAGAAUAGGGGCGAAUGGCAAAACCCUGUCCCUUUUAUGGAGGAUUGUCCUCCGCCUCGGACAUGUCGCUCCCUGAUUGGCUGCAGCCCAUCAACCGAGUUGUCGUCAAGGGGAAGGCAGAGCACAUGGAGUGGAGAACUACCCCGGCACAUGCGCAGAUUAUUUGUUUACUACUUAGAACACAGGAUGUCGGCGCCAUCUUGUAAUGGUGAAUGUGAGGGUGGCUCCUCACAACAUCCCUUUAAUCCCAGUACUGAAGGCAGAGGCAGGUGGAUUUCUGAGUCUGAAGACAGCCUGGUAUAGAGAGCUAGUUCCAGGGCUAUACAAGAAGACUCUGUCUUGCAAAAAAUGAAACAAAACAAAAUAAAACAAAUGAAUAAACA